rnacentral:lncRNA from 1 species
CCCCACUCCAUCAUAUUUUUGACAGACAGGCCUGAUCUCACCCUUCUCCCCUUCAUUUUGUGCAAUAGAACUUGUACAAAACAGACUUCUCUAAACAAAUAAAACAGCUCUGACAGUCCUUCUUUCUCUUUCGGUCUUAAUUCUUAAUCAGAUUAUGAAUAAUAUUAUCUAUCUCGAAGGAGUCGCUAGGAUUAUGCAUAUUGCAUGCAGAUGUCCAGCCUAAGACCAUACCUACAGCUGCGUUACCCAUACCAGAGCAAGGCCCCAGAGCAGCUGAAUUCCAGUUAAUUGAAGAUUUA